rnacentral:lncRNA from 1 species
GUGGGUGUGUGUGACCGUGAGAACAAGACCAAGGGGGAAACCCUAUUUCUUCAAAAUCUUGCAAAUUAAAGGAGAAAAGGGCUAAAUUUUGAAUGCAUGAACUAAGAAUGAUGAUCAUCUAAGCAUACCCAACAUCAAGAACGUGUCAAGGAGAGGUCAAGCAUAGGAGGAUAACGGGUCAAGAUAAGGCAAGGUGACAAAUACACUUAUUGGAGUACUCGAGGAAAUUUUAUAAGUAUAUGUGUAUGGGAAUCCAAAGGCCACGUGGAAUGAAUCGUAGAUUGUCUAUACUAUGUAAAGUUGUAUGGGAUCGUUGGCUUCAUGAAGAAAUGGAGCUGGAUUUGGAUAAGAGUAUUUAAGAAAGCGCUUGGACAAUUCCACGACUACUUUAUAGAAUGCUCUACGAAAUUUUAUUAUAUAGUUUAAUGUUGAAUGGUAUGUUAAUGACUAAUGGUUUGGUUGUACGUGGUGUCCACAGGUAUCGCUUGGGUUUUCUCUACAUUUAUUGAAGUGAAGCGGACUUAGUUCGAGUUGAGAGCAAGGAUUGUACGGGGUAGAAUGGUCACAUAGUGUAACUCAUAUAGGUUUUGAAGUAUUAAUGUUAUAAAACGUUAUAAAUCCGUUUUAAUGAAUAUAUGGCAUU